UGAGGAAUAUUGGGCAAUGCCCGCAAGGGUGACCCAGCAACGCCGCGUGGAGGAUGAAUGUCGUAAGAUUGUAAACUCCUGUUAGAGGGGAAGAAUAGUACCGGUUGGACCGGUAUAUGACUGUACCCUCAGAGAAAGCCCCGGCUAACUACGUGCCAGCAGCCGCGGUAAUACGUAGGGGGCAAGCGUUGUCCGGAUUUACUGGGUGUAAAGGGCGCGCAGGCGGGAUAAAAAGUCAGUGGUGAAAUCCUACAGCUUAACUGUAGAACCGCCUUUGAUACUUUUAUUCUUGAGUUCGGGAGAGAGAGACGGAAUUCCAGGUGUAGUGGUGAAAUACGUAGAUAUCUGGAAGAACACCAGUUGCGAAGGCGGUCUCUUGGUCCGACACUGACGCUGAGGCGCGAAAGCGUGGGGAGCAAACA
rnacentral:rRNA from 1 species